rnacentral:snRNA from 1 species
UACGAUAAGUCCGCCUUAACGUU